rnacentral:ncRNA from 1 species
UCAGUCAACCUAAAGAACUGUUUAAGACUAGAACCCUAAUGGAAAUUGUCAAUCAAGAGUACAAUGGACUAUACAACGGUCAACCACAUUAUAUGUAGGUCAGGAGAAGGCAGGGAGUCUCCUGUUGAAUAAGAAGUACAAAUAGACAGGAACAGUUCUUUU